ACACGACUACAUUAGAUACCCCUGUAGUCCUAGCCGUAAACGAUACUCGCUAGGUGUCGGCCACGGUGCGACCGUUGUCGGUGCCGUAGGGAAGCCGUGAAGCGAGCCACCUGGGAAGUACGGCCGCAAGGCUGAAACUUAAAGGAAUUGGCGGGGGAGCACCACAACGGGUGGAGCCUGUGGUUUAAUUGGAUUCAACGCCGGAAAUCUUACCGGGACCGACAGCAACAUGAAGGCCAGGCUGAAGACUUUGCCGGAUUAGCUG
rnacentral:rRNA from 1 species